rnacentral:rRNA from 1 species
UAAUACAGAGGGGGCAAGCGUUAUUCGGAAUUAUUGGGCGUAAAGGGCGCGUAGGCGGUGAUUCAAGUUGGAUGUGUAAUCCCCGGGCUCAACCUGGGAACUGCAUCCAAGACUGGAUUGCUAGAGUGCUGGAGAGGGUGGUGGAAUUCCUCGUGUAGCGGUGAAAUGCGUAGAGAUGAGGAGGAACACCAGUGGCGAAGGCGGCCACCUGGACAGUAACUGACGCUGAGGCGCGAAAGUGUGGGGAGCAAACAGG